rnacentral:rRNA from 1 species
UACGUAGGGGGCGAGCGUUGUCCGGAUUUAUUGGGCGUAAAGAGCGUGUAGGCGGUUCGGUAAGUCUGUCGUGAAAUCCUGAGGCUCAACCUCGGGCGUGCGAUGGAUACUGCCGGGCUAGAGGGUGGUAGAGGCGAGUGGAAUUCCCGGUGUAGCGGUGAAAUGCGCAGAUAUCAGGAGGAACACCGAUGGCGAAGGCAGGUCUCUGGGCAUUAACUGACGCUGAGGAGCGAAAGCAUGGGGAGCGAACAGG